rnacentral:lncRNA from 13 species
GGAUCCCAAGAGAAGGAGAAGAACUGGUUGCUUGAGGACCUAGACUUCUUCGUAUGAAACAAUACAGCAUGCCAGAGAUAAAUUACAGCUGGGAGCUAGACCACAUGAUAUAGAAGUAGCUGCACAUUGAUGUUGAAUGAAGCAGGAAAGCAGAAUACUUAAACUUCUGCCAAACUCCCAAGAAGCUGACCUUCCAAUUUGCAGUGUCAUUGCUUAGGUUGUUUCCUGCCCAUCAAAUGCCAGGGGCCUAGAUUGACCAUUGCCACCGUGCCUGGAGAGGCCAAGAAGUACACCAUGGAGAUGACAAUGACUGUAGCAAUCCAGCAGUCUGCUCUUACUGGGUGAUUGUAAGAGGGUAAAGCAGAUGUGCUGAACUUUGUGAUGAUUUUAUAUUCCAGUAAACACCCAGUAAGACAACAUGGGAGGCGCCAGGGCCCGUAUGGGUAUUGGAGAAGUAGUGGACAAAGUCAGACCCAGCCCAGCCAAUGAGGGCAGGGCCUCACUGGUGUUGGUCUCACCAGUAAUGAAUAGAAGAUGCCCAGAGUGAGUGAGACAACUUCCAGGACUAGAACUGUGUAUGGAGCCCAAACCAGGAGAGUCGGGAGAAAGAGGACAGUUGGACAUUAUCUUCAUGGAUGGAAUCUUGCCAGGGCUGCCCCCAGGGCCUUCCCCUUCUCCUUCUCUCAGCUCAGUCCUCCUUCCCUCCAGGAAUCACUCAAAUACUUUCCCAGGAAGCAUCUGUGUGCUACUUCAACACAAGCUCAUCUUCCCCACUUCUGAAGUAUGGCAUUGGCAGUGUGAACUGAUCGCACAAAAGCUUGCAUUGUUGUCUAAUUUAAUCCCUGUGUAUCUUGUCCUUUCUUUGCUUGGGAGCUCUCCUAGGAAUUUGCUCUUCCUUUGAUCUCUGCCAGAUCAUCCAGCACAAGGUAGGGCACCUUUUAUUUCCAAGAAACUUCAAUGAACAAUAAAAGGACCCCAGGGCAUCA